rnacentral:rRNA from 1 species
UUUCACAGCCAUAUCACUCUGAUAUCAGAAGCUAAGGAGUCGUGCCUGGCCAGUACUAGGAUGGGGGUCCGUCUGGGAACACUGGGUGAUGUAGGCU